CGGGGCGUAGCUCAGCCAGGUUUAGAGUACGCGUCUGGGGGGCGCGGGGUCGGAAGUUCGAAUCUUCUCGCCCCGACAA
rnacentral:tRNA from 15 species